UGAACUUUGUGCAAAAUGUUAAAGCAUUAAAUCAUCCGUUGAAUUACGCUCUAAUUUAGUAGUUCUGGAGAUGCGAUGAAGCUAUUGACAAUUUUUUUUGGAUUUCUGCUGGUUCUGUUCUUUACAGACUAUAUAAACUCAGAUCAGGUUUCCUUCUCUGUGAAAAAGAUUCUCGUAGCUUUAUAGCUUAUUUGAUGUUUUCAGUUUAUGGCCGUUUUUCUUCAAAGGUGCACCGGCACCUGCAGUAAAAAGUAUUGCAACAUUUCAUUUCGGUGCCGCCCGCUAAAUCGUACAUCAAAAAUAAGCUCACUAGAAAUUCAUUUUCACCCAGGAGUAAAACUGGAAGCUCCAGUCAAUAUCGAAAUAAUUGGAUAUAAAAAGUUUCGAACCGAAUACCGUCAGCAUAUGCUCAAACUAAAGGCAGAAUUUUGUUCUCAACUUAACAAUACGAAUCAUCCUUUUUUCAAUCUAUUCUGGAAAUCGGGAUAUAAUGGGAAUAUACUUGAUGCGUGUCCGCUAAGCGGCCAUCGAUAUGUAAAGCCGCAUGUUCCCAAAUUCGACCACUUUCCGUUGGUACCAGUAGGAGAGUGGAGAGUAAAUUAUACUUUAUCGAAAAAGAUGAACGAUUCGGUUGAAUUUAUUGUCUCAAUUGCCGAAUUCUAUGAAAUUAAACCUACAAGUGCUGUAGAGUUCUGAGUCGAUUAAAAAAAUAAAAUG